rnacentral:rRNA from 1 species
UACAGAGGUCUCAAGCGUUGUUCGGAUUCAUUGGGCGUAAAGGGUGUGUAGGUGGCGCCGUAAGUCGGGUGUGAAAUUUCGGAGCUUAACUCCGAAACUGCAUUCGAUAACUGCAGUGCUUGAGGACUGGGAGAGGAGUACUGGAAUUCAUGGUGUAGCAGUGAAAUGCGUAGAGAUCAUGAGGAAGACCAGUGGCGAAAGGCGGGU